UAUUUGGCCUGGAGGUUAACUAGGGUCGUUUAGCAAAUGCCUAAUACACAAAAAGACAGAGCAUGCACACACACACACACACACACACACACACACACACACACACACACACACACACAUACAGACACACAUAGUUAAACGGGCCCAAGUUUAUAAUGGAGGGUGCAUAUCUUUUUUGCUAGGCCAGGAGAACAUUUUUGCCUUGAUAGCAUUUGGGUUUUUGUUGAAAUCGAAACACGAAUAACUUAUAGGAAACAGGGUAAAAGAUGCAAUUAACAAUUAUAAUACUUGAAUUAAAAUCAUACUAAUAAAAUAAAAAUUAUAAUAAUAAUAAUGAUAAUAAUAUAUGAUAUUAUAAACUUUUGUUAUAUUUCUUCCCCUAUUCAAGCUUUUGCACUAUGUACGUUUAUUUGAAACAUUUUAAAGCUUUGCAUACAACUAGAAUUUGCAUUGAUAUAUAAAUAUAUAUAUAUAUAUAUACAUAUAGUUCUAGUAUAUUCUAGUAUAUUUAGGAGCAAGAAAUGGGCAUAGUUCGGGACAUGAGUGCAGUAGUAAGCAAGUAUAUAAUCUAUAUAUAUCCAUAUAUAUAUAGUUGAAACA